rnacentral:rRNA from 1 species
GGAGUCGGUUACGUCCCGUCCUCCGGGCCGGCGACCAUCGCUCUUGCUUUCCGAGAACUUUGAUACAAAUAUCGUGGGAUUGUUUCCCUCAGACGCGUUCAAUGUACGCGAGGGCGCCCGCGGUUUUACUGUGACUAAAUGAGCGCGACCAAAGCAGUCGUAUGACAUGAAUUUGAAAGCAUGGGAUAACAAAGUAGCAGCCUACGGGUUUCCGUUUCGGCUUUUGUUGGUUUUAAAGAUCUGUGGGAGAUUAUGGACUCGCAUGACCGGUCUUACGACCUUCCGGCGCUUGGGUUAUCCAAUCUUGUUUCGGCUUGCGUUGUCCAGGAAUGAAGGAGGGUUGUUCGGGGGAGAACGUACUUGGGCGUGAGAGGUGAAAUUCUUAGACCGCCCAAAGACGAACUACAGCGAAGGCAUUCUCCAAGGAUACCUUCCUCAAUCAAGAACCAAAGUGUGGAGAUCGAAGAUGAUUAGAGACCAUUGUAGUCCACACCACAAACGGUGACCCCCACGAAUUGGGGAGUAUUUGGUUGCGGAGAUCCAAGCUCGCUUGCUGAUCCCGCCAAAAGAGAAUA